rnacentral:rRNA from 1 species
AGAGUUUGAUCCUGGCUCAGAUUGAACGCUGGCGGCAUGCCUUACACAUGCAAGUCGAACGGCAGCACGGAGCUUGCUCUGGUGGCGAGUGGCGAACGGGUGAGUAAUACAUCGGAACGUACCCUAGAGUGGGGGAUAACGUAGCGAAAGUUACGCUAAUACCGCAUACGAUCUAAGGAUGAAAGUGGGGGAUCGCAAGACCUCAUGCUCGUGGAGCGGCCGAUAUCUGAUUAGCUAGUUGGUAGGGUAAAAGCCUACCAAGGCAUCGAUCAGUAGCUGGUCUGAGAGGACGACCAGCCACACUGGAACUGAGACACGGUCCAGACUCCUACGGGAGGCAGCAGUGGGGAAUUUUGGACAAUGGGCGAAAGCCUGAUCCAGCAAUGCCGCGUGAGUGAAGAAGGCCUUCGGGUUGUAAAGCUCUUUUGUCAGGGAAGAAACGGUGAGAGCUAAUAUCUCUUGCUAAUGACGGUACCUGAAGAAUAAGCACCGGCUAACUACGUGCCAGCAGCCGCGGUAAUACGUAGGGUGCAAGCGUUAAUCGGAAUUACUGGGCGUAAAGCGUGCGCAGGCGGUUUUGUAAGUCUGAUGUGAAAUCCCCGGGC